AUAAACUUCAACUUCAGAUUCCGGUAGAGAACUAUAAGAAUUUUUGGUAUUCACUCAAAUUAGGGCACUGGAUCGAAGCAGGAAUACAUCUCAUUAUCCUCCCCAUGCCAUGGGUGGUUGCUCCUCCUCCCUUCCAGCAGGUAGCACACCGGCGCAUUUAGGAGGGGAUAAUGCUGGACUGAGCGACUUGACCAGAGGCUUUCGGGUGAAGCUAGUGUUGUUAGGGGAUUCUGGUGUUGGAAAAAGUUGUAUUGUUCUUCGUUUUGUUCGUGGACAGUUUGACACAACAUCUAAGGUGACUGUUGGAGCUUCAUUUCUAUCUCAAACUAUGGUUUUGCAAGAUGCUACUGCUGUCAAGUUUGAAAUAUGGGACACUGCUGGCCAGGAGAGGUAUGCGGCAUUGGCCCCACUUUACUAUCGAGGAGCAGCUGUUGCGGUUAUUGUGUAUGAUAUAACCAACCCAGAGUCAUUCAGUAAAGCACGUUUUUGGGUUAAGAUUGGAGGUUUCUCACGGGCAUGGAAGCCGUCCACAGAUGCUUCCAGUUGGUUAACAAAAAGUUUCACUUCCAACAGGAGCUACAGAAGCACGGAAACCCGAAUAUUAUCAUGGUUUUGGUGGGUAACAAAGCCGAUCUUCAUGAAUAUCGGGAAGUAUCCAUUCAAGAUGCCAUAGACUAUGCAGAGAAAAAUGGCAUGUUCUUCAUUGAAACAUCUGCAAAAACAUCAGAUAAUAUUCAUGAACUAUUCGAGGAGAUUGCUAAACGGCUGCCCCGGAGGCCGAUUAUGUGACUAAUGGCAUCUCUCUUUGUCUCUCUCUGUGCUUACAGUGCUGUAAUCUAAAAUGUUAUGGAUUGUUAUCAGCAAUAUAUGUAGCAUCCUAACAAGUAACAACCAGAUAAGCUGACUUGAUCUAUAAUAUGAACAGCACAACAGAUGUGGUAGAAACUGCCACUUAAGUUUUAUAUUAUCUUCCCUAUAAAUGUCAAAUAUAAAUCCCAAGGAAAAUGAAAACAAUUGUUUCCAAUUUAAAUGAAACUAACAGUUAGAUUAAUGUGAUGCACACAGCCUGUAAGCACAUGGAUUUGGCCAAAGCUGAAGGCAUGAGAAGGGGGGCUUCGGGUAAUACCAACCCAAGCUACCAUUGGUGAUACGACAAGACGAAGUCACCAGCAAUGAUGACCUGGCAGAACGGGCUUCCUUGAGAGAAGAUUAGUGAUCGCCUGAAUAACCUCAACUGUAAUAGUACACGUGUAGAAGACUUACCAGAAAAGGUAUUAGGGUACACAUGUACGGUAUUUCAAUAUCAGUUUUUGCAUAUAAAAGCAGGGCAAUCCUCCAGAGAGAGGUAGAGCUUUUCAGAGAAUUGUACCGUGUAUUGGGAUUAGUCUCCUUCAUAACAUUAUAAUAAUAUUAGGGUGUUUACAUUUGGCGACUUCA